GGCAGUGUAGCCUAGUGGUAAAGUGCUGGACCACCUAUCGGGAGGUCGUGGGUUCGAACCCCACCACCGGCA
rnacentral:tRNA from 1 species